GAAUUUAAACCUCUUCCAGAGUAUCAAUUGGAGGGCAAGUCUGGUGCCAGCAGCCGCGGUAAUUCCAGCUCCAAUAGCGUAUAUUAAAAUUGUUGCAGUUAAAAAGCUCGUAGUUGAAUUUCUGCUGCAUUGCUUUUGCUCCUUUACGAGUCUUUGCAUUGUGGCUUAUUUCGGACUUUGUUUUACAAUGUCCGGAUGUUUACUUUGAGAAAAUUAGAGUGCUCAAAGCAGGCUUUCGCCUUGAAUAGUUUAGCAUGGAAUAAUAAAGUAGGACUUUGGUUCUAUUUUGUUGGUUUUAGGUACCAAAGUAAUGGUUAAUAGGAACAGUUGGGGGCAUUCGUAUUUAACUGUCAGAGGUGAAAUUCUUAGAUUUGUUAAAGACGAACUACUGCGAAAGCAUUUGCCAAGGAUG
rnacentral:rRNA from 1 species